rnacentral:lncRNA from 1 species
ACAAGAAGAAUUUCUGGACAGUGAAGAAGUUUUCAGAAGAAACGCUUGUACAAUCAUUGAGGAAAUGCUGGAACUGAAUAAUGACCCUACAGAACAUACUACAUUUUUAGUUGAUGAGGUUCUUCACUGCAUCUUUUUUUUGGGAAACAUCAACAAGCCAAUUAUUACCCCCGAAGAAAUUGUUAAUGAUGAAGAGAUGUUAAAUUGCUUGAAACGGAUUUUCCCUCGAGCUUUUCGACUCUUUUCCUCUCAACUACCCAAGCGGGAUCCAUUUUCAUGUGUGCUUGACAUGAUCGUCCACCUGACUGGCGAAAGUAAUGAAGACCAAAUAAUUGAACAGCUGCGAAACCUAAACACUCAGCUGGCCCGGGGUGAAGAAAAUCAUCUGGUCCCCUCAGUGAUCUGUGUCUCUCAGAAUACUCAGAGGAGAGGUUCAGCCAGACACUAUGGUCUCUCCAUGUCCACUUCUGGGAAGACUCCUGGGCAGAUCAUGGUCGCUGCCUCCUGUUUUAGUGCCUGGGACAGUGAUGUUGCUGAUGCAGUGAUGACAUACUAUCCAAAUAAGCAGAAGAAACCAUACUUUGAUGGAAGAAUCAAUCUGCCAAAGUAUGUCAGGUGCGAGGCGUUUAACCUGUAUGAUCGAAGCCCAAAGGCUCCUUGCAAAUCAUGUGGGGAUUUGUUUGGUUUGGCAACAACUGAAACAAAGGGCUGGGCCCAUGGCAACUGUGCUGAAGUUGGGAGUGUGAGCAACUUGUUUAAAAAUGAGGAAGAAGUUCAAGUUCAAGCACAAUCCCAAUCUGACACGGUAACCAAACCUGAGAACAGGAAGAGGGUGAGAGAACGUGUGAGGAAUCACCUUAAAAUGUUGCUGAAAGAGAAGAACUUUUCAUGGGACAAUAAAUUCUACCCUGACAUAGUUUUUAAUCUUUAAACAGAAACAUUAUUGAAUGUUACAGAUUGAUGACUAAGAUGAUCUGUUAUUACAAAUUGACCAGAUAGUAGAGGCCUUUAAAUAUCAGAUUAUCCAUCUACAACAUACAAAAAUACACAAUGACCCUUUAAUUAAGGACAGAAAUUCCAACUUUUUUCCUGACUUGGAAUUCGAUUAAUAUACCAUGACUUAUCACUGCAGACUGCCAGUUCUCCUUGUGAUGUGUAUUACUGCACGUUUUAACAAUGGAAAUAAAAAUACAUCUGUAGUAUAAAUGAUGUGCGUCACCAGUUUGAAUGAAGCAUGCAGGUGAUGCAAAGGUGGAUAUUAUGGUCAUGUUAUUUAUAUUAAAGUUAACUCAUUUACAAUAAAGUUAACUGUUAUGUAAACUGGUUGGUGUGUUUUUCCAUCCAUCCAUUUUCUAUACCCGCUUUUUCCUGAAUCAGGGUCAUGGGGAUCUGCUGG